GAGGGUAUAGCUCAAGCGGUAGAGUGCUUGCUUAGUAUGCACAAGGUCCUAGGUUCAAUCCCCAGUACCUCCU
rnacentral:tRNA from 1 species